rnacentral:rRNA from 1 species
GAUGAACGCUGGCGGCGUGCUUAACACAUGCAAGUCGAACGGGACUUACUUUAUUGAAACUUCGGUCGAUUUAAUUUAAGUCUAGUGGCGGACGGGUGAGUAACGCGUGGGUAACCUGGCCUCAUACAGGGGGAUAACAGUUGGAAACGGCUGCUAAUACCGUCGAUAAGCCGACACAGUACCGUCAUGGUACCGUGUGAAAAACUCCGGUGGUAUGAGAUGGACCCGCGUCUGAUUAGCUAGUUGGUGGGGUAACGGCCUACCAAGGCGACGAUCAGUAGCCGACCUGAGAGGGUGACCGGCCACAUUGGGACUGAGACACGGCCCAA